AACGAACAGUAGUCGAUCACUGAGGGGAGGAAAGCAGCGAGGGCAUAAGCAGCAGAGCGAACAGCGGCAAAACAAGUGAGUCCGAGCAGGUCUACACGAGGUCUAAGAGGUUGUAACAGCACGUGAGAUUUUCCACGUUGGACGAAUGUAAACAUGUUCGGCAGAUUCUUAUAUCGUGAGGAGGAACAUAGCACAAACUCCCACUCAGCUUCAUGAAGCAGCAGAAACAUCAGCAGCUGGUUGAGAUCAGAAUCCGUUUCAGCAUGAAUGAACAUGACGUGAACACAGUCAGUUUAACAGCUGAUAGACCAGAGAUCAGCUGUUAUUUACCUCCGACAGGAAGUUCAUGUUUGUGUUUUUGUUUGUUUGUCAGCAGGAAAAUACGAAACUGAGUGGCUCCAAACUUGGUGGAGUGACAGAGAAUGAGCUGUGGAAGAAACCACUUCAUCAUGGGGCCAAUCCAGGAACUUCCACUUUCCUCGUCCUGUUGUCGUCAUUCAGUGUGAAUCCUUUGUUGCAGUCGCAGGUGAAGGAACCAGGGGAGCUGAUGCAGAUCUGUUCACAGUUGUGUUUCCCCUCAGCGCACAGUCUUACCACAGAGCUUGUCCUGGAACUGAAGUCCAAACUGGUGGAUGAGAUCGAAGGACUCCACCAGGAAGACGUGGU